CUAAAUCAAGAAGAUCUUAAUGUUUUGUUUAGAAUACUGUCGGAAAAUCUUGAUGAAACUCCUGAAGAGUUAGAUAAAGUGAAACCAAGAGUACCAGAGACAGGUGAAAUCAAAGAUGCCCCUGAAAUUUCUACAUCACAGAGAUUACAAGCUUCGAAAGAUGCUUCAAGAGCUGAAAGAGAAGAAAUUAGAUCUGUAAACAUUGUUAAUGUACUGCUGAAUUUUGAAAUUAAAGAGGUUAUGGUGAUGCUGAUGAAAAAGGCGGAAAAGAGUGGGAGGCCAGUGCACGAGCUCAGUGUCCUGCAGCUUGGAGUGGAAGCUAGAGUUCAAGCUUAUGCCGUGACUGCUGAAGCUUAUCUCCAGCAAGUCAGCAUGCGGUGCCUGGAUUUCACUGAUGCAGAAGGAGGCCCUCUGCACAUCGUGCGCUCCUCUUGUGUGACUAAGGAGCCGCUCCUGAAGUUGGCCUUGACCAAGGCAGACAGUGAUGGACCGGAAUUUAAAACUGUUCAUGACAAUACCAAACAGAGACUAAAGUAUCUGGCACCAUUUCUAAAGAGGAUAUGUUCAAUUUAAAGGUUACAGCUGAAUUAGAUGCUAUUAAUGUUGUCUGUGAUCAGAAGUGUUCUAUAGCUGAUGUUAAAAUACAUGGUGAGUAAUUCUAUUUUGUUAUAUAAACAUCCAGCAAAAGUGAGCUUGUAGGGGUGAAUUUCUUAUGAGUCAAACAUUGUUUCCUUACACUGAAGGUUAAAGGUAUAUUUGGAGAUGUUUGUAGUAAAUUUGUUAUAAUUCUUUUCUGACUUGAGACAUUCCAUGUGUAUUUUAAAAAUUUCAGAUUAUAUCUGAGGCCUUAAUUUGUUUCUGUACUUGUAUUUUUAGAAUAAUCUGAUAAUUGAGACAUCACAGAAUUUUUAAAAAAUAGUUUAUUUAUUUUGCCUUUUCCCCGUAUGUAGCAUAGGCAAAGGAGUUUCUGAAAGACACUUGUGACCUUUUGAUGUUGUCGGUUUGAAAGAAUGAAGCAGCACAUUACCCUUCCUCCUUUCCUCCUCUUUUCCUUCUUUCCUGUCUUUCCUUUGUGGGAUUGAAUCCAGAGGCUUUCCACUGAGCUAUACUCUCACUCUAGUUUUUAAACUUUUUGUAAUUUUGAGCCAGGAGAACUUAAUUUCUUCUGAAGUUGCUCAGUUGCCCUGGCUGGGCUUGAAUUUGGGAUCCUCCUGACAGCUUUCCGGAGUACUGGGAUUAUAGGCCUCCACCUCCAGGUCUGGCUAGGUGUUUUGUUUAUUUGGUUUUAAACUCACAACUUUUAUGUAAGAUGCAUGAAGUACUUAAAGGUGUAACCUGUCUUACAUACCUCAUACGUGAAUACUGGUAUAACAAUACCAGUAUGUCUAAUAAUAGCUUGUGUUGACUCUGUAUGUUAGUAGUAUGUUACUGAACACAGCACUGCUCACUUGACUCAUCUGGAUUGAAUGAAUCCUUUGUGAAAGUCUUGCCUUCCCUAUGAAGCCAAAACAGACUGAUAUGUUUGCCAGACUUCAGAAUAUCAUAGUAACAAAUGUUGAUUUGAAGUCCAUUCACAAAAAGUUGAAGUCCAUUCACAAAAAGGUAGAAAUUGAUUUCUCAACUGAAAUGUCUUCUGUGUUUUAUAUUUGAG
ensembl:lincRNA